UAGGGAAACUUCGGCAAAGGACGAAAGACUGACCGAGCAACGCCGCGUGAGUGAAGAAGGUUUUCGGAGCGUAAAACUCUGUUGUUAGAGAAGAACAAGGACGGUAGUAACUGAACGUCCCCUGACGGUAUCUAACCAGAAAGCCACGGCUAACUACGUGCAAGCAGCCGCGGGAAGACGUAGGUGGCAAGCGUUGUCCGGAGUUAUUGGGCGUAAAGCGAGCGCAGGCGGUUUCUUAAGUCUGAUGUGAAAGCCCCCGGCUCAACCGGGGAGGGUCAUUGGAAACUGGGAGACUUGAGUGCAGAAGAGGAGAGUGGAAUUCCAUGUGUAGCGGUGAAAUGCGUAGAUAUAUGGAGGAACACCAGUGGCGAAGGCGGCUCUCUGGUCUGUAUCUGACGCUGAGGCUCGAAAGCGUGGGGCGCAAACAGU
rnacentral:rRNA from 1 species